AGGACUUCCAGAAUUGCUUCAGGAUGUAGCAAGAAGCAGGGGGGUGGAGGGGCCCCACAGGCCCAGCGUGCUCUGGUUACCAUUUGUUCGCUGAAGUCCCCGAAUGUGAGCCGCCUGUCUGCAGAUGCUUCGCUCUGUCCGGUCCCCACCGUGCCCGGCAGUGGAUGCGCCAUGCGUGAGUGACCGAGCAAAUGACCUGCGAGCAGAGGGUGCUGCCCUGGAAAGGCCACCUGGGCCGGGCAGACCUCACGUAGGGCCGGUGGCCCCUGGACCCCCACCCAGCACUGCCAAAGUAGGGUUGAUGGUGGCACCAUGAAGACUACCGUCUGACCCACAUUCCUGGACCCUGGAGUUGACAUCACUCGGACAGAGGUCGUUGAGGAACCAUCAGCUGAAGAUGUGAGGUGGAAUCUCUGCAGACCCUAAGUCCAAUGACAAGUGUCCUCAUCAGAGGCGGGGCAGAGGAAGACGGAGGAAGGCACACGAAGGCGGGAGCAGCCCGGGCUGAUGCAGCCACGAGGCAGGAGUGCCCAGGGCCAGCGGAGGCCCCAAGAGGCUGGC